UACGUAGGGGGCGAGCGUUGUCCGGAUUUAUUGGGCGUAAAGAGCGUGUAGGCGGUUCGGUAAGUCUGUCGUGAAAUCCUGAGGCUCAACCUCGGGCGUGCGAUGGAUACUGCCGGGCUAGAGGAUGGUAGAGGCGAGUGGAAUUCCCGGUGUAGCGGUGAAAUGCGCAGAUAUCGGGAGGAACACCAGUAGCGAAGGCGGC
rnacentral:rRNA from 1 species